AGCUAAUGAGCUUGAAACAAGCAUGUGUUUUGAAAACACAAGAUAGAAAAUAAUAUUUCUAUUAGCUU
rnacentral:tRNA from 1 species